rnacentral:rRNA from 1 species
AUUGAACGCUGGCGGCAGGCCUAACACAUGCAAGUCGAACGAGUGGCGGACGGGUGAGUAAUGUCUGGGAAACUGCCUGAUGGAGGGGGAUAACUACUGGAAACGGUAGCUAAUACCGCAUACCAUCAGAUGUGCCCAGAUGGGAUUAGCUAGUUUGUGGGGUAACGGCUCACCAAGGCCACGAUCCCUAGCUGGUCUGAGAGGAUGACCAGCCACGCUUGAACUGGGACACGUUCCAAACUCCAACGGGAGGAAGCUGUGGGGAAUAUUUCACAAUGGGGGCAAGCCUGAGGCAGCACUGCAGCGUGUAUGAAGAAGGCCUUCGGGUUGUAAAGUACUUUCAGCGGGGAGGCGUUACCCGCAGAAGAAGCACCGGCUAACUCCGUGCCAGCAGCCGCGGUAAUUC